UACGGAGGGUGCAAGCGUUAUCCGGAAUCACUGGGUUUAAAGGGUGCGUAGGCGGUGUGAUAAGUCAGUUGUGAAAUACCCCGGCUCAACCGGCGGAACUGCGAUUGAUACUGUUACACUUGAAUCAGGUUGAGGUAGGCGGAAUGUGACAUGUAGCGGUGAAAUGCUUAGAUAUGUCAUAGAACACCGAUUGCGAAGGCAGCUUGCUGGACCUGAAUUGACGCUGAGGCACGAAAGCGUGGGGAGCAAACAGG
rnacentral:rRNA from 1 species